UACAGAGGGUGCGAGCGUUAAUCGGAAUUACUGGGCGUAAAGCGCGCGUAGGCGGCUUUGCAAGUCGAGUGUGAAAUCCCCAGGCUUAACCUGGGAACUGCAUUCGAGACUGCAUAGCUAGAGUAUGGGAGAGGGCAGUGGAAUUCCCAGUGUAGCGGUGAAAUGCGUAGAUAUUGGGAGGAACACCAGUGGCGAAGGCGACUGCCUGGACGACACCUGACGCUGAGGCGCGAAAGCUAGGGGAGCAAACGGG
rnacentral:rRNA from 1 species